UAGUUCAGAUGGUGGAGCAUGAGACUCUUAAUCUCAGGGUCGUGGGUUUGUUCCCCAC
rnacentral:tRNA from 1 species